rnacentral:rRNA from 1 species
UACAGAGGUCCCGAGCGUUGUUCGGAUUCACUGGGCGUAAAGGGUGCGUAGGUGGCCAUGAAAGUUCGAUGUGAAAGCCCCGGGCUUAACCUGGGAAUGGCCGUUGAAACUGGCGAACUGGAGUGUGGCAGAGGGGGGUGGAAUUCCGCGUGUAGCAGUGAAAUGCGUAGAGAUGCGGAGGAACACCGAUGGCGAAGGCAGCCCCCUGGGCUAACACUGACGCUCAGGCACGAAAGCGUGGGGAGCAAACAGG